GAGGAAAGUCCGGGCUCUAACUAGUAACAAUAUAGCUGUAUAAUAAACAGUGUAGGUAACUAUAAGGAAAGUGCCACAGAAAAAAACCGCCUAAUAAAUAAGCUUAGGUAAGGGUGCAAAGGUACAGUAAAAGCGUACCAGAAGUAUUAUUGUAAUACUUGCUAGGCAAACCCCAUAUAAGAGCAAAGUAAUAAACUAGAUAUUUAUCAUAUGUUUAUAUGAAAAAAUGAUACUUUAUUGUUUAUCAUUCAUUACUGCAAAGAGAUUAUAUGUAAAUAUAAAUAUAAGAUUAAUAACUACCCUUAGUCAAUUCAGCCAAUACACAAUUUGUAUAUAUCUGAAAAUUAUUAAGAACAAAAUCCGGCUUAU
rnacentral:RNase_P_RNA from 2 species